AUAGGUGACCGAGUGGUUAAGGUUGAAAUUCGAAAUUUCAUGGGUUAUCCCGCGCAGGUUCGAUUCCUGUCCUAUG
rnacentral:tRNA from 11 species